rnacentral:rRNA from 1 species
CGGAUUAAUACUCCAUAAUACUAUGGACAGGCAUCUGUUCAUGGUUAAAGCCCCGGCGGUCAGAGAUGGGCAUGCGUGACAUUAGCUUGUUGGUGAGGUAACAGCUCACCAAGGCUACGAUGUCUAGGGGGUCUGAGAGGAUGGUCCCCCACACUGGUACUGAGACACGGACCAGACUCCUACGGGAGGCAGCAGUGAGGAAUAUUGGUCAAUGGGCGAAAGCCUGAACCAGCCAUGCCGCGUGAAGGAUGACAGCCCUAUGGGUUGUAAACUUCUUUUGUACGGGAAGAAACGCUUCUACGUGUAGAGGUUUGACGGUACCGUACGAAUAAGCAUCGGCUAACUCCGUGCCAGCAGCCGCGGUAAUACGGAGGAUGCAAGCGUUAUCCGGAUUUAUUGGGUUUAAAGGGUACGUAGGCGGGAGCUUAAGUCAGUGGUGAAAUCCUGCAGCUUAACUGUAGAACUGUCAUUGAUACUGGGCUUCUUGAAUGUAGUUGAGGUAGGCGGAAUGUGUAAUGUAGCGGUGAAAUGCUUAGAUAUUACACAGAACACCGAUUGCGAAGGCAGCUUACUAAACUACGAUUGACGCUGAGGUACGAAAGCGUGGGGAGCGAACAGGAUUAGAUACCCUGGUAGUCCACGCUGUAAACGAUGAUCACUCGUUGUUGGCAAUACACCGUCAGCGACUGAGCGAAAGCAUUAAGUGAUCCACCUGGGGAGUACGACCGCAAGGUUGAAACU